rnacentral:rRNA from 1 species
UAAGGAAUAUUGGACAAUGGAGGCAACUCUGAUCCAGCCAUGCCGCGUGAAGGAAUAAGGCCCUAUGGGUUGUAAACUUCUUUUAGACGGGACAAAACCCCUUUACGUGUAAAGGGUUGAUGGUACUGUCAGAAUAAGCAUCGGCUAACUUCGUGCCAGCAGCCGCGGUAAUACGAAGGAUGCAAGCGUUAUCCGGAAUUAUUGGGUUUAGAGGGUGCGUAGGCGGACUAAUAAGUCAGUGGUGAAAGCCUGCAGCUUAACUGCAGAAUUGCCAUUGAUACUUUUAGUCUUGAGUACAGUUGAGGUAGGCGGAAUGUGUCAUGUAGCGGUGAAAUGCUUAGAUAUGACACAGAACACCGAUUGCGAAGGCAGCUUGCUAAGCUGUAACUGACGCUGAGGCACGAAAGCGUGGGGAGCAAACA